UACGGGGGGGGCAAGCGUUGUUCGGAAUUACUGGGCGUAAAGGGCUCGUAGGCGGCCCUCUCAGUCGGAUGUGAAAUCCCCAGGCUUAACCUGGGAACGGCAUCCGAUACUGGAGGGCUUGAAUUCGGGAGAGGGAUGCAGAAUUCCAGGUGUAGCGGUGAAAUGCGUAGAUAUCUGGAGGAAUACCGGUGGCGAAGGCGGAUCUCUGGGCCUGUCCUGACGCUGAGGCGCGAAAGCUAGGGGAGCGAACAGG
rnacentral:rRNA from 1 species